rnacentral:rRNA from 1 species
UACGUAGGGUGCAAGCGUUGUCCGGAAUUAUUGGGCGUAAAGAGCUCGUAGGCGGCCAACUAAGUCGGAUGUGAAAUCCCCAGGCUUAACCUGGGAACUGCAUCCGAUACUGGAUGGCUUGAAUCCGGGAGAGGGAUGCAGAAUUCCAGGUGUAGCGGUGAAAUGCGUAGAUAUCUGGAGGAAUACCGGUGGCGAAGGCGGCAUCCUGGACCGGCAUUGACGCUGAUGAGCGAAAGCUAGGGGAGCAAACGGG